rnacentral:rRNA from 1 species
UACGAAGGGGGCUAGCGUUGCUCGGAAUUACUGGGCGUAAAGGGCGCGUAGGCGGAUGUUUAAGUCGGGGGUGAAAGCCCGGGGCUCAACCUCGGAAUUGCCUUCGAUACUGGACAUCUUGAGUACGGGAGAGGUGAGUGGAACUCCAGGUGUAGAGGUUGAAAUUCGUAGAGUAUCGGGAAGGAACACCCAGUGGCGAAGGCGGCGAUCUGGGAAGAUACUGACGGCUGAGGUGCG